UAGAGACUUGUUAAUUUUUCAACCAGCAACUGCCUCAGGAAGGCCUGUCCAAAUAAUCUGGGGGUAAUGCUGAUUAUACUAUUUUCCCAAUAACCUGUUUUGGAGAAUAACAUUUCAGAGUUGAAGUACAAAAGAAGGGAGAAAGGCAUGAAGGCAGGAAGGCAGGAGAGAGAACACAAAGGAGCAUCCCCUCAUCCAACAAGUCCGAACCCCCAACCCCAAAACACUUAGGAAAUUUGUCCCUACUCUUCUCCUGUUUCCUAAAUCUGUCCCGCACCAGCCUCCGGGCCUUCCUCUUCUUGGAGAGAGAAUUCUGUCUUUGAGGCUUUUCCUCGUUGCUAACCAGCCCCGCCCACAUAGUUUCCAGGGCUACCUGAUAGGGUCCUCAAACUAUGAUAGGGGCAAGUUUUUUGAACCAGAAGUCUCAGAAAGGGACUGGGACAACUCUGGAGAGAUUUCUCUCAGCACCUAACAUAACUUAUUUUAAGUGCUCUUGCAAAGUCCUUGUAAGGAACCUAAGUCGGGCCUCUUGCUCUGACAAAUGAAGCCUUGUGGGACGUUGGCUGUUCCAGGAGCCCCAGGCAAAACGCUGAGAUGUCCUUCCAAACAGGGACCCAACAGCUGAAGGGCUCCAGUUACCCGAGAGUGCCUGCGGAGCCACCUACCCUGCUGGAGGUGAAGUCGCGGGUCUUGGCGCGAAGCUUAUUGACUUGGGAUUCCGCGAUGUCAGCGCGUUCCUCUGCCUCCUCGAGCUCGUGCUGAGCUUUACGGAAUUGGUGAGCUCAAACUCCAGCUCACGGAUCUGGGGAAACAGUUGGGAAGUUGGUCUGGGGCUGGAGAAGGUGCGGCUGAGGCCGGAGGCCCUGCCCGUGCCUGGAGCUCAUCCCGCUGGUACCCGUGUCUCCAGUUUCUGGAUCUG